UUCUGACUGCAAGUGAUGGAUCACCAAGUGAUAGGGGGAAACAGAUGAAACACCCACCCCUGAAUCCCCAGCCAAUGACUGUGUAAAUAUUCCCAUAAAGGCCAGUAUCAAGCUCCAACAGCACAUCACUGAACUUUGAGUUGGGAAGAGAUGUACACACUAGGCUCUUGUGAGCUGUCUCAGGCUGGCUUCAUCACAUUAUCAGGACAUAAUGAAUUAUGGGAACAAUCAGCUGGAAGAGCACAUCUUUCCUCUAUGGUUGCAAUAACAAGAAGUGGGAGAAGGAGAAGGAAAAGAAGAAAGAGGAGGAAGGAGAGGAAGAGGAAGAGGAGAAGAAAAAGUGCCACCACCACUGCACCGCCAGCCUGGUGAAUCAGACAAAAGAGAAACUUCCAAUAGGUUGACAUGAAAGAAAGGUGUCAUUUAGGAUCAAUAUCCUAGGUGUAUAUUUAAGUGCUUUACAGAUGCGCUGUUGAGUCCACUGCUUUUUGUUGAAAGAAUUAAAACCUAGCAAUG